GACUGCCGGUAUAAACCGGAGGAAGUGGGGAUGACGUCAAAUCAUCAUGCCCCUUAUGACCUGGGCUACACACCGUGCUACAAUGGUUGGUACAACGAGUUGCGAGUCGGUGACGGCGAGCUAAUCUCUUAAAGCCAAUCUCAGUUCGGAUUGUAGGCUGCAACUCGCCUACAUGAAGUCGGAAUCGCUAGUAAUCGCGGAUCAGCACGCCGCCGGUGAAUACGUUCCCGGGCCUU
rnacentral:rRNA from 1 species